rnacentral:misc_RNA from 1 species
UAGAAUUUUGGGAAUCAUUUAUGUG